UAGUUAGAUUUGGUGACACUGAGUGCCUGUUUUUAUGCUUCAUCGAAAAUAAGGUCAUGGCUACCUCUUUUGAUCAUUGUGGUAUUUGUCAAAUCAAGACACGUUUCUAAGUUAUCCGUGGUUUGGUGCUCAGAUUGCGAUGAAGGAUUAUGCCAAGACUGUAUAGAAAAUCAUAGCUUGUCAAAGGCAACACGAAACCAUAAAACUGUUCCUAUUGACGAAUAUCAUAAGUUGCCAUCUUUUAUUGCAAACAUCACACUGCACUGCGAUGAACACGAUGAGAAGUACCAAUUGUUUUGCAAGGAACACAAUGUCAUGUUGUGUAGAAAAUGCGUCAUUUCUGAAAACCACGUAGAAUGUAAAGUUAUAUUCCCUAUUGAAGAUGUCAUUCAAAAUGCUAAAACAUCUAUAGCCUUUACAGAAAUGGCGUCCUCAUUCCAGGAAAUGAAAGAAAAUCUCCAACUUAUCCUUAUGGACAGACAAAAGAAUCUAUCUUCACUAUCAGAUUCAAAACAAAAACUGGAGUCCGAGAUAUCAGCGAUUCGGCACAAGAUUAAUCAAGACCUUGAUAUAAUACAAGACCAUUUCAUUGUUGAACUGAACAAAGCUGUAGAACAUUCAACACAACAAAUACAAAGCUUCAUUGCAUCUCUGAAGAUUAACCAAAGGGAAAUUGAUGAGUGUAUAGAAGAUGUAGAAAACAUAAAGAAUCAUGCAACAGAUAUGCAAACAUAUAUAGGAACCAGGCUUUUAGAAACUAAACUGAAUAGAACAGAAAAUGACAUGCAGGCUUGGAUUAAUGGUGGUAGUUUAGCUCACACUGUAGUUUCUUACGAAUUAAACACUGUAUUGAAUAAUAUAAAUGACGAAAUAACUACGUUCGGAAAACCUGUUGUAGAUGUACAAUCAUGUCAACUGUCAUUACUAAGAAGGAAAGAGGGCCAGGCUUAGUUGAUGAAAGUAAACGCGGAACCUAAAACUAUUGAGCAUAUCACAUUGACCUUAAAAACGAAAAUAAAAACAUCAGCUUUCAAUGUCUCGGGCUGUUGUAUUUUACCUUGUGGCAAACUUGUAAUUGCAAACUUUGAUCCUUCGUAUUUGAUAUUACUUUUACCUGAUGGGAAAAUUGAAAAACAAAUUACCAACAUAAUAUCCCGUAUUUAUGAUGUUACAGACACUGAGAAGAAUAUUAAACUGGUGAGUCUUAAAUCAGGAAAAACAUGCAAAAGUAUUAAUACCCAUUUCCCUUCCUGUGAUGUAACUCGCACUAAUGGUAAUUUGAUCAUUUCUCCCGAUGAAGGACAACUGCAGGAGAUCAAGAUAGAAGAUACCACAGCAAGGGAAAUUGGACGUACUGUAGUCUCAACAUACGUUGCUUCAUUAGGCAAUACAUUAUACUCCGUACAGAGAGGUACAAAUUCGGUUGUCUGUCAUAAUGAAAAAGGGGAUACGCUAUGGACAUUUGCGAACGAAACGAUAUUGAAAGAAGCCAGAGGAAUCACAGCAGAUGAAUAUGGAAAUGUAUUUGCCGCCGGGGCCGAAUCGAACAACGUGAUUGCAAUAGCCUAUGAUGGCAAAAAACACAAAGUUCUCCUGUCAAUGAUAGACUUGUGUCGUUCUCCAUGGGCAAUUGACUACAACAGCGAAUUGAAAUCUUUGCUUGUAGUAAACGAAAAAGAUGGUCAAGCGUUUGUGUACAAUGUAAACUCCGCCUAAAUAUAUUUGCAACCGUAGCAUUAUUUUAAAACUAAAUAAAUUGACAGUGACAACCUUUUCAUCAAAUGCAGAUAAACUUAAUCAUUUUUUUCAUAUUUGUUUACAACAUACAGUGUUAUAUUAGUAUGUAAUCCGUU